CUGCAGUUCUGCACUAUGCUUUGCUGGAUGUCGCCUAAGCAGAGGAUGCGGCAGUCUUGGCCACAUUUGGUUUUCAUAAGCUAAUAUGGGUUUCUUUCCCUUUUAUUCUUGCAAGAUAUGGUUCUUUGUUGGUUCAUUCGACCAUGCCGUUAACCAACAAGGCCUCUGAUCCUGUCUGUAGUGUGCGGCUAGGUUGUUCCUCCGCCUGGGUCGUAGCUUCUUUCCUUUCUGCCGACGGCAGGUAUAAGACUCGAGCAAUGGUUAACGGGCAAGCACUAUAUACACCAUUCAUCUAUGCUAAUAUAAUCUGUCUUUUAAAGCCAAUGUAUGCUAUCACCAAGUGAUCUGAAUAUUUUGUUUCAAGCAUCAAGCUUUCAUGUAAUGGAAUAUAAGUAUCUUUAAGUUGAUUCUAAAUCAAUCUCAUACACAUGCUUUGAA